rnacentral:lncRNA from 10 species
CAAACAGUGGUUAUUUACUAAUGGCUCCACUGUGGUGACUGUAAGCCUCCUGAGGUUGGGGACCACAAUCUUCAGCUUUUCUGAGCAGUCUUAGGCUCUGUGAGCCUGCAGUAAACACUCAGUAAAUGACUUUUGCUUCAUCCUGGCUAGUCCCAAGCCUAGUUCACAUUGAAAACUUCUUGACUGUAAAUGCUAUGAUUCUAUCUUACUUUUUAGGCAGAAAAGGCUGGAGCAAUACUUAUGGCCAGAAAUAUAACAUACACACUUUAAACAUCCCUUUUCUGACUUAGCUCAAAGUUGCAAAUGGCAUUUCAAUAGCCUCAGACGGAGCAGCACACCUCGAAAAUGUCUUUGGAAACUCUCAGUUGGGGAUAAGGGUCUUUAAAACAUACGAGGGAUCACCAUGCCCAGUGGUAUUACUUUAAAUGUGCUCUCACGUGGACACCAUGGAGACCUCUGACCUGCCUCUGGAGUCUGGAGUCCCAGGCCUGUUUGUUUGUAGAUGGCAGCAAGUUGCAAAACAAAUUCCAGAAGAGACUGCUAUGGCCCAGGCAAACCUGGAAGCUUGUAAUGCACUAAUCGAAAAUUAUACACUUCAUUUUCUGACUGCCAACUCCUGUCCAAAGAUUAUCUUAAAUACAGUUCUGGGUGCACAGCUUGCCUGACUCCUGACUCACAGGCUGUGUUUAGUGAGCAGCCGAAAUUGUUGGUGAACCUGCAAAAAUAGCCAGUUCGACCUGCAAAUCACUGCGUUCAGGCCAGAAGCUGCAUGCCAGGCCCUCGCCUCUGCCCUCACCCCACAGGACAGAUAGUCCAGGUGCUCCUAGGAGCCAGGCUGUCAGAGAGUGUGAGUGUGCAUGCAUGGGUGUGCAUGUGUGAAUGAAUGUGUGUACAUGUGCUCUCACAUGCCCACGUGGAGAGCAGCAAAAACAAAUGGCUCCCAGGAGCAGUGAAGGAGGAGGCUGUUUUUCACUGAGUGAGGUGGUUGCUGCUUGUACCUGAGACCCAGGACUGGAAAGGAAGAACCAAAAAUCCCGAUGAUCAUCGUCAUCAUAGUAAUAUAAAAAGGACCAGCAUUUGUUGAGUAAUUACUUGGAGCCAGGCACUGUGCUAAACUCUUUAAUUGAAAAAACACAUUUACUCUUCCCAACAACUGUAUGAGACAGCUGUUACUAUCACACCCACUUUACAGAAGAGGAAUCUGGGGCUCAGAGAAGUGAAGCAGCCAGCCCAAGGUCAAGCGCCUGGUCAGUGGCCGAGCAAGGAUUUGGACAAUUUGACUGAAAGCAUCGUCUUCAGGGAGGCAGCCGACAGAUGCGUUUUCCAUCUGGGAGAAGGUGGUUUUUCUGAACUGGGCUCAGAGCUGUUCCAGGUUCCAUCCUGAGAUGCAAAGAGGUUGCUGACACCUUCAGGCAGGUUCCAGUGGUGGGGCAGGCAAGGAGGAGAGCUAGCACAGCUUGCUUGAAUGCUGUCCUUCCAAUAAGCACAAAGAGGGCAAUAUCUGAGCUGGAAUGGCUCUUUGGCUUCUCAGAUAGGGACAAAAUUGAGACCCAGGAAGGGAAAGUCACUUGCUCAGGGGCACACAGCAAGUAAGUGGCUAAGCCGAGAUGAGAAUCUACGUUGACAGACUCCCAGUCUAGAAUGUUCCCAGCAACAUAAUAAACAUGGAUUAAGUAUGUAUCAUCCACAAGAAACUGUGCUAAGUAUGUGGUAUUAGCUCAGUUAUUUCUCACAACAAUCUGUUAUGUCCUAUUAUGAUCCCUAUUUUACAGAGGGGGAAGAGAUGGCACAGAGAGGUUGAGCAACUUUCUCGAGAUGGCACAGCCAGGAAAUGCGCUAUGUCCUUCAUAGCCAAAGUAGGAGCUAUUGUCCUACCCUGUUACCCUCCCAUCUCAUUUGUCCACAACUGCCUGUUCUCUCCCUACCCCUACCUGCUUCCUGAAGAAACCACAUGGUUCUCUCCUGGCCUUGAUCUCAAGGAGUUUGGUCUGGACUGGGUGUAGAAGGAAGCCCAGAAGACUCUAAACAGAUGCAGUUGUCCCCAUUCCUCAUCAAGCUGUGUAUGGCCGGCCACCCAGUGACCUCAAAGCCAAUGUCAACCGGAUCUGAUAGGCUCAGCUACAUGUGUAGCUGGGCGUAGCUCUGGGACUCAUCUGUAAGACGUGACUAACAGCUUCACACCCUCCAAAGCAUUCCAUUUUGAAUCAGGUGUCACCUGAGAUGGAAAAGGCUUUUGUUUAAUUUGGGUUAUCUGGGUGGCAGUUGUAUUUUUUUUUUAACUUCACUCUACCCUUUUUUAUAGCUGUAGAUAAUCUUUCUUUCUGUAGACAGGCCGAGAAAUGUAACCAUAUUUAUGGGUCAGGCUUUGCACACAGUCAUCAUUCAGAGAGUGGAGACAGAGCAGUAACUCUCUGGGCAGGGAUGGCACCCUUGUGGGCUCUAUUUUUUCUCCCCAGAGCUCAUGGAGUGGAGGGUGGGUGAAGGCGACACCUUCAAGAGGAGAAUAGAAAAUGAGAUUUUAGCCCAGGUACAAGGAGAGCAAAAACAGAAUGAGAAGGAGUGUGUGGAGGCUGAGGACAGACCUGGGAGAGGUGUUUAAUGACGUCUCACCUGCCUCAGUGUUUGACCUGCCCAGUGCAGGAGACAGAAGCAAAAGGUUCCUUCAGGCCUCAGGCUCUGGAGACAGACACUUGAGCUAGAAUCACGAUGAUUAACUUACUAGCCAUGCUACUCUGAGCAAGUGACUUAGCUUCUCUAGCUCUCCAUUUCCUCAGCUACAAAAUGAAGAUGUUAAAAACGCACCAUGGGAUUAUUACAAAGAUAUGUAACUUGAGCAUUGUGCCUGGUGCACCAGGAGUAUUCAAAAAUGUUAGGUGUUAUUUGCAUGCACGUGGAUGAGAUUCAGAACAUCAUGCUGAGUGAAAGAAGCCAGACACAAAGCAGGGCAUUGGUUUCAAAUUACAGAAGAGACAAAACUAGACUAUGGUAAAAGAAAUCACAACAGUGGUUAUCACUGAGGUGGGAGAUGGGGAGGCGUUGACUAGGAAGGGGUGCAAAGGAUCUCCCUUGGGUGAUGGUACUGUUCUGUCUCGAUAGAGAUGUGCAUGCAUUGAACUGCAUGCUUAAGAUCUGUAAAUGUUACUAUAUAUAAAUUAUACUCCCAUAAAAAAUUAUCAGAGAAAAACAGAAUUAUUAUUCUAUUUAUGCUUAACAUUUUGUGUCCCAGUAUAACGUCCUUUUUUUGUUUUAAAUAAACAACAGGAAAAAAAAUUUAUUUCUCACAGUUCUAGAGGCUGAGAAGUCCAAGAUCAAGGUACCAGCAUUUGGCAUCUGGUGAGGGCCUUCUUGCUGUGUACUCCAGAGGGAAGGAGUGCUAUGUCCUUACAUGGCAGAAGGCAGAAGGCAAGAGAGCCAGGCCUGCAUGAAGCCUCUUUUAGAGGGGGCUUAAUUUCAUUCAUGAGGAGAUCAUCAUGACCUAAUCACCUCUUAAGGGCUCUACUUCUUAAUAUCUUUACAUUGGCAAUUAAGUUUCAACACCUGAAUUUUGGAGGGGACACAUUCAAACCAUAGUACACAGUGUGCUCAGAGAGUAGGGAACAUGAAGGGAGAGGCUAGCAGGCCUGUGUUGUCCUGGAGGCAAUGUGGCACUUUACAAGGUAUGUGGAUAAAUAAUGCUCAGAGUUGCAUCUCAGAAAAGUAAUGUAGGAGCACAGAGGAUUGAUUGGAAAGGGAAAGACUGGGGUAUGUAACAGUCCAGGGAAAAGAUGGUGAUGGCCUGGACAGAGUGUUUUCCUUGCUUCCCAUGCGGCUAACACAGCCCUCUUCUGAUCACCUGGGCACAUCCCUGGCACGUAUCUAAUCAAACUCACACUCACAUAACCAGAACAGAGUGCAACUUGAAUUCUCAGACUUCCUACACUGGACUUCCAGAUCCUAAAAGGGAGACCUGAAGCAUGCCCCAUACUCACAAAUGUGUUGUUGAAUGAGCAUGAACAAGUGAAGAGAUAAGUGAAUGCAUGUCACGCACACAUGCACAGGGAAGCACAGAUAAGAGACGCAUCCAAAGAGUAAGGUGACCUAGAGGUAUGUUACAGACCAAGUCUGGGUCUAUGCACAGACCUGCCUGAUUCCAACAAGACCAAUAGUGUCUAGCAUUUAGUGGGAACCUACUCUACACAUGUAUACAAAUUCCACUUAAAUUCCCCCAGAGUAGGUGUAUAUUUUAUUUCUGAUAGAAAAUUGGAGAGCAUCUCCUAACCCCACAUUUCACUGAGGCAGAAAUCAGUCCAAGGCUCAUAUCUAAUACAUGAAUAAAUGAGCUCAUUCAUUCUUUGCUCACAAGUAACUGGGACUAGAGGAGCAUGCCAUCACACCUGGCUAAUUAAAAAAAAAUUUUUUUUUAGAGACAGGGUCUCACUAUGCUGUCCAGGCUGGUCCCAAACUCCUGGCUUCAACUGAUCCUCCUGUCUCAGUCUUUCCUUUUUAAAGGCAACCUCAAUUAGUUUCAAAAAUCCUCCUCUUAUCUGUUUUGUUAUUAAAGAAAAUCCAAUUUCUUAAUGAGGAAUCCUUCAGUGGUGGACACCAAGCUAGAUUAAACAUAAAGAGGGAUGCAUUGACUCUCUUAGCUGGAAAGUCCAGGGAUAGUUUGGCUUCAGGAACAGCUGGAUUCAGAGGCUCUCUUCGUCUCCCAACCUACUUUCCAUCACAUCGUCCUCAUCCUCGGGGAGCUUUCCUGUGCGUGGUGGCCAGAGGGCUGUUGUGGCUCUGGACUUACCAACCAGCAGGUCAGCACAAGAGUGGGGGCCUCUUUGUGGGCCACUUCUGUAAAACCCUCGGGUUGAUUGAUGAGUCUUAUUGGAUGGGGAAUGAGAGAAGGGUUUUCCAAAGAGCCAUCAGUCAAAAAUGGUGUAGUUUCAGGAGGCAUUUUUAUUGUUGUGACUGCUGAUCUUGUUAUCAAACCCUCCAACCAGUACAAGUAAAUGAAUAGACUGAAUUGAAUUGAGAACCAACCCAAGCAAAAUUGAAUAAAUUUCAAACCAUCAGUGGUCUUUUUAGGUGAGACAAUACUUGAACUGUCCUAAGCUCCAAGCUAAGAAUUAAAGGACAUUGUUUCUUA